GAUGAACGCUGGCGGCGUGCCUAAUACAUGCAAGUCGAGCGAAUGGAUUAAGAGCUUGCUCUUAUGAAGUUAGCGGCGGACGGGUGAGUAACACGUGGGUAACCUGCCCAUAAGACUGGGAUAACUCCGGGAAACCGGGGCUAAUACCGGAUAACAUUUUGAACCGCAUGGUUCGAAAUUGAAAGGCGGCUUCGGCUGUCACUUAUGGAAGGACCCGCGUCGCAUUAGCUAGUUGGUGAGGUAGCGGCUCACCAAGGCAACGAUGCGUAGCCGACCUGAGAGGGUGAUCGGCCACACUGGGACUGAGACACGGCCCAGACUCCUACGGGAGGCAGCAGUAGGGAAUCUUCCGCAAUGGACGAAAGUCUGACGGAGCAACGCCGCGUGAGUGAUGAAGGCUUUCGGGUCGUAAAACUCUGUUGUUAGGGAAGAACAAGUGCUAGUUGAAUAAGCUGGCACCUUGACGGUACCUAACCAGAAAGCCACGGCUAACUACGUGCCAGCCGCCGCCGUAA
rnacentral:rRNA from 1 species